AUUUGAUUUUGAUUAAUCUAUUACUUUUUCUUUUAUGUAAUAUUUUCGCAUCUCACCUCAUAUAAGUAAAGCCUUCAAAAAUUUUAAGCAUAGACAAUUGCAACCAAUUCGAAGUUGUGUGGGAUAAUUUUUUCAUAAGACUUUAAUUGUCUAGAAGCAUAUGUAAUCGCCUUUUCAUUUUGCAUUAAACACAACCUAUCCUUUAAAAAAAAACCAUCACUGUAUAAUUGGAAUCCCUUAAUUUCAGAUGGAAUUGUUAAUACUGGUGUCGGUGUUAAAAACUUUUUUAAUUUAUAGAAUGUUUUGCUCACAUUCAUCAGUCCAUUUAAAUUUAAUAUUCUUUGGUGUCAAUAAAGGCAAAAUAAUUUGAUAAAAAAUUCUUUACAAAUUUUAUGUAAUAACCUAUUAAUCCUAAAAAGCUCCUAACUUUGGUCAUAUUACUUGGUCUUUGCCAUUCUACAAUUGCAUUCAUCUUUUCUUGUUCUAUUAAUAUGCCUUCACCACUAAUAAUGUGCCCCAAGAAAGAAAUUUUUCUCAACCAAAACUCAUAUUUAGAAAAUUUAACAAAUAAUUUAUGUUGUCUCAGUAAUCCCAUAACAAUUCUCAAGUGAUGUGCAUGCUCUUCAUCAUUUUUAGAAGAAACCAAAAUAUCAUCAAUAAUAACAAUUGCAACUGAUCAAUAUAAGGCCUGAAAAUUCUAUUCAUCAUAUCCAUAAAUACUAUUAGGGCAUUUGUCAAUCUAAAUGACAUAACAUGCAAGAAGCGGUCUGGCCGGUUCAAGUGAACCUGCGAGUUAAUAAAAUAGGCAUAGACGGACGGAGCGGGAGCAGGGUGCAAGCUGAUCAAACCGUAUGCAUGUACGAGGGAGAAAAAUAACUACUCGUGAGAUAUAGAUCCAUUUCACUCGCUCCUGUGGAGUCAAACGAAUGAAAAGUGAAUAGAGGAUGAAAGAGAGAAAGAGAAGGAGAAGGAAGGGAAGUAGAAUGGCUGAAGAGAGGAGUGUCUACAGAAGACGGCUCACAAAUGAAAAUAGGACUCAUCGAUGAUGCUAAAUGUAACCUACGAAAUACAGUUAGAAAAAAACAAUCUCAGGAUAUUUUGGCCAGGGGUUCAUUUCCAGAGGGCUUAAAUAGUGGAGCUUUGUAUGAGCGCAAUGUUUCUCAAAGUUCGAAUGAGGAAAUUUUGUACACUCAAUGUUACCCUUCUCAUCCUAGAGAACAUGAUCUUCUCCAAAGAGUUUCAUUUCAUUGUGAAAACUUCGUUGAAAAUAUGAAUGUCUGCCCCCAGAAGUUUCAUGCAAUUCUUUGUCUGAGUGUGACAAAGUGGAUCCAUUUGAAUUGGGGUGAUAGUGGACUGCUGGCAUUAUUUUCAAAGAUAUGGAGGCUUCUUAAACCAGGUGGAGUUCUUUUGUUGGAGUCUCAGCCUUGGGAAUCUUAUAAAAGAUACCGACGACUGUCUGAGGCUAUAAGGACAAACUAUAGUAAUAUUCAUCUACAUCCUGAUCAAUUUCGAGAUAUCCUUCUAGAUAAGGUUGGCUUUAGGUCUGCCGAUACCAUCACAGACAAUUUAUCUGGCACAGUUGCUGGUUUUGACAGGCCAAUCAUUGCCUUCAAAAAGUGAUUUUUUAUUGGAAGGAGAAAUGGUAGAAGUUUUCAACAGUUUUACUGUCACGCAUGAAGAGAUUAGAGAGCACCGAAUACUAAUCAGAUACGAAACAAAUUAUAACCAAGGCCUCUUGCUUUCGCUGCGUUUUGAUCAAUUUCCAUGCACCAUACAACACCAUGGGAUUUUUGUUGAUGCAUUUGAGGCUGAGGAAUGGAAGAUAAUUAUUGCCUUUGUAUUAUUUUGACUUCUGCCGAGCUAUAUUUGUCUGCAUUAAAUGGGCACUUAACAGCUCUGUACUACACAUCUGGGCUUUGAAAUUCUUUUUUGAUUAACGCUAGUAAGCAAUGAUAUUUAGAUUGUUUUACAAGUUGUACAGGCUCAAGUUCUUUUCUCAUGGCAUUGUACUCUUCAGGGGUUUUAUCCAAGGUGUUGGUUGCAAUGCA